rnacentral:tRNA from 1 species
GGCCUCGUAACUCAACUGGCAGAAUGUGCUCUGUACAAAAUCGCAGGUGACGUCCAUGCGUGGGUUCGAAUCCCACCGAGGCUA